GGGGGGGGCUUUCUCCAGCUGGGACCAGCCCCGGGCUCUGCCCGCCCCCGCCCCGGCUGCAGAACGACGCUCACGUUUCGUUCCGGUUCAUCCCGUCCUCCCAUGGGUCAGGGGAGCGACAUGGCCGCAGAGGAGCCAGCUGAGGGGCCGGUGACCUUCGAGGAGGUGGCUGUGUAUUUCACCAGGGA